CCUACGGGGGGCUGCAGUGGGGAAUAUUGGACAAUGGGGGGAACCCUGAUCCAGCCAUGCCGCGUGUGUGAAGAAGGCCCUCGGGUUGUAAAGCACUUUCAGUGAGGAAGAACGCCUGGUGGUUAAUACCCAUCAGGAAAGACAUCACUCACAGAAGAAGCACCGGCUAACUCCGUGCCAGCAGCCGCGGUAAUACGGAGGGUGCGAGCGUUAAUCGGAAUUACUGGGCGUAAAGCGCGCGUAGGUGGCUUGAUAAGCCGGUUGUGAAAGCCCCGGGCUCAACCUGGGAACGGCAUCCGGAACUGUCAAGCUAGAGUGCAGGAGAGGAAGGUAGAAUUCCCGGUGUAGCGGUGAAAUGCGUAGAGAUCGGGAGGAAUACCAGUGGCGAAGGCGGCCUUCUGGACUGACACUGUCACUGAGGUGCGAAAGCGUGGGUAGCAAACAGGAUUAGAUACCCUGGUAGUC
rnacentral:rRNA from 1 species